GUGUGUGUGUGUGUGUGUGUGUGUGUGUGUGUGUGUGUGUGUGUGACGUCCCUGCUCUGUUCUGAGGAGAUUGUGUUUGGGGGUUUGUACUUGUGUGUAGGUAGAUUUGAGAGAGAUUUAGCACUAUGAGAAGGUAAAGAUGUCACCUAGCUGGCGGGCUGUGAUGUGACAGCAGGUCAUGUGCACGCUGACUUGAACUGAGCACAAAAUCCAGGUUUCUUGUCCAGAAGGCGACGCCUGACCAGUCUGUGGAGUAGCGUUGAUGGUUUAGCGCUGGCAACACGAAAACAAAUCGAUGAUUUCGAACCAGUCGGUGGCUUUUCUGUGUCAGCCUCGUACGUGACAGUGCUUUAGUGAGGAAACAAUAUUCUGGCUUUUCACAGCUUCAUUUCCUCAAUAAUCUUAAUAGCUUAAACAUGCUGCGUUUUAACUUUUGACAAGGUUAGCAUUUAAUAUGAAUCCCGGUCCGCACAUUCAAAUAAGGAAAUUGGAGCGAGAUGUCAGUUCAGGGCUUAGCUGUCUGUGUGCAGUGGUUGAUGUGAAAAUGCUACAGUAGUGAAACGUGUCCUUGGCCUUUUGCUAUUUCUUUGGAGAUGAAAACUCUGAAUAUAAAUUUGAGGAACUCCUAUUUUUUAACGUGUGCCAUAUUUGAAUCUCCAAGACUGGUGACAUGUGUUGCCUGGGGAUGUGGAUUGGUGUUUCUGUGUGGGCGUGCAAUCAGAUUGGAACGGCAAGCACGUGUUCACGUCAGGUUAUUCACAUGAAGUUGUUCCCGCGGUCUGACGACGUUACUCCGUGAUCCAGACAGUACUUUACGGCCGUGGUCCCACAGCUGUCUCCCAUCUGGAAAGAUCCAAUGUUUUCUGAGGGUGAAACCAAUAUUUCCAACCGCUGCCGCAGUCUGAGCAGCAGACCCAGUGUAACAGUAUGUCCGGUGAAGCCCGAGUGGAGCAGUGCUGCACGGCCAGUGGAAACAUUGGAUUUAUACACUUUUUUUUUACUGCUCCGGUUAGAAAGCAGACAUCUGUGGGAUCACAAAAAGCUUUUGCAGAUGUAACCUGCCGUAGUGAAAGAUAACUACGGUAGUAACAUUCAGAGUGAAGUGUGAACCCGCUGUAAGGAGUGGCUGUGUGUGUUUGAAAUCAUUUCAUAUUUUCCUUCUUUGUCUUUUAAAACGCUGUUUUCCACUCACACAGAAGCGUCUUUCUGUUGACUCUGCAUGCAGUCGGGCCGUGUCUUAACGUUGGUUUGCAUUCAGCCUGAUCACAGGGGUCUUUUCCAUUCCUUUCCCCCGGGUUGGGGUUAGUGUCAGCGUCCGCAGGCUUCAGAGUUCACUCUGAAUGUGCUGAUAGGAGCUGGGCUUUGGUUAAAGUUGGCUUCCAGCUGAUGUACAGUGCAUGGUGCUGCCCUGGUCGCUGUGGCGACCAAAUGAAUGCAUGGCUCAAACUGAUGAUACCUCUCCCUCUCUCUAUCCUGCUCUCUAUCCUCAGUCGAUUGGAGGGCUGUCUCUUUCUUUAGAUUUGUAUAAUAGCCCUGUUAUUAAACUUCUAUUUUGCACGAUACGUCAUGAAACACAUUAUGUGCCUUUGCCUUUAGUUAGACAACAAUAAUACAUUAAGGAAAAGUGGUCACACUUUUCAUGGUACAGCUAGUAGCACUUA